rnacentral:rRNA from 1 species
GUGAGGAAUAUUGGUCAAUGGGCGGGAGCCUGAACCAGCCAAGUCGCGUGAAGGAAGAGGGAUCUAUGGUUCGUAAACUUCUUUUGCAGGGGAAUAAAGUGCAGGACGUGUCCUGUUUUGUAUGUACCCUGAGAAUAAGGAUCGGCUAACUCCGUGCCAGCAGCCGCGGUAAUACGGAGGAUCCGAGCGUUAUCCGGAUUUAUUGGGUUUAAAGGGUGCGUAGGUGGUUUGAUAAGUCAGCGGUGAAAGUUUGCAGCUUAACUGUAAAAAUGCCGUUGAAACUGUCGGACUUGAGUGUAAAUGAGGUAGGCGGAAUGCGUGGUGUAGCGGUGAAAUGCAUAGAUAUCACGCAGAACUCCGAUUGCGAAGGCAGCUUACUAAGCUACAACUGACACUGAAGCACGAAAGCGUGGGGAUCAAACAGGAUUAGAAACCCCAGUAGUCC